rnacentral:rRNA from 1 species
AACCGAGUCUUAAUUGGGCGUUAAGUUGCAGGGUAUAGACCCGAAACCCGGUGAUCUAGCCAUGGGCAGGUUGAAGGUUGGGUAACACUAACUGGAGGACCGAACCGACUAAUGUUGAAAAAUUAGCGGAUGACCUGUGGCUGGGGGUGAAAGGCCAAUCAAACCGGGAGAUAGCUGGUUCUCCCCGAAAGCUAUUUAGGUAGCGCCUCGUGAAUUCAUCUCCGGGGGUAGAGCACUGUUUCGGCUAGGGGGCCAUCCCGGCUUACCAACCCGAUGCAAACUGCGAAUACCGGAGAAUGUUAUCACGGGAGACACACGGCGGGUGCUAACGUCCGUCGUGAAGAGGGAAACAACCCAGACCGCCAGCUAAGGUCCCAAAGUCAUGGUUAAGUGGGAAACGAUGUGGGAAGGCCCAGACAGCCAGGAUGUUGGCUUAGAAGCAGCCAUCAUUUAAAGAAAGCGUAAUAGCUCACUGGUCGAGUCGGCCUGCGCGGAAGAUGUAACGGGGCUAAACCAUGCACCGAAGCUGCGGCAGCGACGCUGAUGCGUUGUUGGGUAGGGGAGCGUUCUGUAAGCCUGCGAAGGUGGCCUGUGAGGGUUGCUGGAGGUAUCAGAAGUGCGAAUGCUGACAUAAGUAACGAUAAAGCGGGUGAAAAGCCCGCUCGCCGGAAGACCAAGGGUUCCUGUCCAACGUUAAUCGGGGCAGGGUGAGUCGACCCCUAAGGCGAGGCCGAAAGGCGUAGUCGAUGGGAAACGGGUUAAUAUUCCCGUACUUGGUGUUACUGCGAAGGGGGGACGGAGAAGGCUAUGUUGGCCGGGCGACGGUUGUCCCGGUUUAAGCGUGUAGGUGUGUGUUCCAGGUAAAUCCGGUUCACUUUAACACUGAGGCGUGAUGACGAGGCACUACGGUGCUGAAGCAACAAAUGCCCUGCUUCCAGGAAAAGCCUCUAAGCAUCAGGUAACAUCAAAUCGUACCCCAAACCGACACAGGUGGUCAGGUAGAGAAUACCAAGGCGCUUGAGAGAACUCGGGUGAAGGAACUAGGCAAAAUGGUGCCGUAACU